GGAGGGGCUGGGACGGGACCGCGCUGUCCGGGCCCCCGCCCUCGGAUUCUGCUCCAAACACUGAGCGAGCCCCCGUUCUUCCCUCGCCCACUGCCCCAGGUCAGUCUCUCCUGUCCCUAGCCUGUUUUUGUUGUUUUGGCUGGAGUUCAGUGGAGCGGCUGCGGGAUGGGAUUGGGACCUGCCCAGCAGAGCCAGAUGGGAAGCUCUCAGGAAGAGGCUGCACACCUUUUAGAGGGUUUUUAACUAUUCAAAACUUGAUGGUGCCCCAGGGCAAUCCCAUGAAAUCCAGGAUCCAUCUCCCAGAAGAGACAGGGGCAGCCUGGCUGGGACAGGGGAUGAGUUCCCUGCUCUGUCCGGGCUUCACGAGGCACCCGAGGGGAGCAAACCCCAAUUCCCACAUCCCGAGGGGCCGGCAUUAAUGGGAUUAUCUCUCCCCUAUCUCGGCUAAAGGGAAGCAGUACCUUAACACACUCCCAGGAUGGCCAGAGGUCUUUAAAAAGCUCCGGCACUUUGAGGAAAAUCGCCUCCAGGCAUCCCUUGGGGUUUGUAAAUUCGGGGUUUAAGGCUGAAGGGACCCAGGCCAUUAUCUGGUCGCUCCUCCCUUGUAAAACCAUAAAAGACAACAAAACCGCCUUGAGCGUUUAAUUUGCAGAAGCUCCUGGUGGCUGGAGGGCCUUCAGGAGAUGGAGAGCGCAUCCUGGGGUCAGCUGCUCCCGCAGGGAUCGGGACAAAGUGUCCCAAGUGGCUGCGUUGUUCCAGGCUAAAUGCCAGAGGUGUGCACGGGGAUGUGUGGGGGAGGAAAGCGAGGGUUUCAGCCCAGAGAACCCCUCCGAGCACCGAGUUCACACCUGCACACACGCCUGACCAGCCGGGCUUCCCCCAGGGCCCCGAGCUCCCCAACCCCGCCCGUGCUCCGAGGGCAGUGAGGAAGGACGUCCAUGGGUUCUGUUGUCCUUCAUUCCACCGGAGUCUGUCUCGUAGCUAACCAGAUUUCAGUGGAGUGAAGCACAAGAGGCAUGGAGCUGAGCCAGCACCGAGGAGCUGCUGCCCUGCAGUGGGACAGCCCUGGGAACGGGGGUGCGCCAGGCAGAGGGGAGAGGAGAGGAGCAGCACGAGGAGCUCUGCAGCACCCUGAGCCUCUCCUGAAAAUCCCCAGUAGCACCCUCCGCCAGCAUGUGCUUCCUUUCUGCAUAAUGUGUAAAGAUUAAAAGUCUACAAAGACCACAAGCUGCUUUCUGGAAGGUUUAAAUACCUUAUUAGCAGGAAAUUAAACCCUAAAGUGGAUAAA